CCUAAAACAUACACAAAAUCAACAAUGUUAGAAAACAACGACAAGAGUGGCACAGACAAUGAAGAUUUUCUUGUAUCAGGAUUUGUAACACAUUAGUUAAGGAUAGAGAAAUUAGCUAAUUUUACGAAACACACAAAAUAAAUAACUUAGCCUGGAAAGAAAGAUAACAAAGAUAACAUUUAUAUUCCCAAUAUAAACAAGAAACAGAAAAAGAGAAAAAAAAUCAGAAACAAGCAUAAUUCAACGAUAUAAAUGGUUCCAUUAAGAUUUCCUUCCAUGUUAGUAUUGAGAAGAGAACAGAGGAAUGGAAUUUUCAAAAAACUUUAUAGCAGUGCAAAGCAAUAUGUUUUUUUUUUUUUGAUAAGUAAGUGCAAAGCAAUAUGUUUUAAAAACUAGUACUGCCCCUUCACCAAUUGAUGACCCCAAAUCCAGGCAAACAUUAAAAUCAUUUACAACAUGGAGGAAUUUCAAACAAAAGGUUAUCAACAAUCACAUUCCAUAUCACUAAUUACUAUGCCUUGACUAAAUAAUGCAUAAACAAGCAUUAAGAACAGCCAAUGAAUGGUUGGAUCUGAAUUUAGUAUGUAGAACAGUAUUUCCCCCAAAUCAAAAUAUCGAUUAACCAAAGGAGUCAACCAAUACCAACCCAUUUGCAACAUCAUGGCUCUUACUCCCCACCUUUUCAAGCCAAAAUUUUUCUUAUUCGAGUGUUGGGUAACAGAUGAAUUUAACGCAAACCACCAACCACCAUCACAUCUUUGGCUUCCAACAGAAAAGUAAAAACAAAUGUGAUGCUAACUGGAUUUUCAUGCAAUUAGAUAAAUGGCUAAAUAUUCAAACUUCUAUAAUAACAAACAGCUCCGAUGUCAUCUAAAAUAAGAGUCCUGAAACUGUUGAAAGAAAAACUACAGAGUAAACAUGGCACAGGAUCAUGCAGGCUUCACAGGCCAAAAAGGUUAGGAUUCCCAUCAUAUUUGAAGACUAUAUGAUACAUAGUUCCUACAUAUGGCAUGUAUUCUCUAGCGGUCAAAGAGAAGUAAUUCCCUUUUCUUUGGAUGAGCAAUGAUAAUAUUAUAUAAUAAAUAUAAACAAGCAUCAAAAAACACUGCACCAAGGUACACAGGACAUAUAGAAUGAGUGCUAAAGGAUGAACAUAAACACCCUCCCCUAGCAAGAAUCCAAUCAAUCAACAAAAUCUAUUAAAGACAUAGAACUUCAUCUAUGUACAACUUUACUCACAACAAAAGAUUACUAAAGAAUUGGUCUUUUAGAGCAUUCACUAACUGUUCAUCAUUCUCAAAACACCUAUGAUUCUGGCCUUUCCAAACCUUUUGGCGUCUUCUCCCCACAAAUAAACCAUGUCAACCUAAAAGGAUUUCUCUGAAUGUGGUGAAAAUAACCCAAGAAGCACUAAACAGGGAGAAGAAGAACUGCCAUAGAUCCCUUGUCAUGGUCAAUGAUUAAAAAAAAUAUCACUGAAAUUCGAUGAAAAAUCAAGGAAAUAUCAGUAUAUUGGGAUCCACAUAUAUGAUAUAUAGCAUGGAAAGACUGACCAGCCAAAUAUUGCAGAUUUCUUUUAGAUUUUAUUGGUUUCGAUUUCUCGGCAAUUUCAUUACCAUUUUCACUAUUUUUUUUUACGAUUUUGACCAGUCAACACAGGUUAAAUCUGUUGACUUUUUAAUUCGAUGAAAAAUCAAGGAAAUAUCAGUAUAUUGGAAUCCACAAAUCUGAUAUAUAGCAUGGAAAGACUGACCAGCAAAAUAUUGCAGAUUUCUUUUAGAUUUUAUUGGUUUCGAUUUCUCUGCAAUUUCAUUGCCAUUUUCACUAUUUUUUGACGAUUUUGACCAGUCAACACAGGUUAAAUCUGUUGACCUUUUAAAAUUAAAAUGGCAGAACAAGGCUGCAACUCAAAAUCAUGCCUUCACUACAAAAUGGCAGGUAGCAAACCCCCUGAGCAGCUUUGCCCUUAAGGAUAUAUGUGCAUAAAAUACAUAUAAACAAAUAUUAAAAUAAAAUUUCAAUAAGUAAAUUAAUUUAAAUUAUCUUAUUUCAAAUUCCAUUUAACAUAUUACUGAAGUUAUAAAAAUCAUCACAAUAAUCUUCUUAAUUAGUUUCUCUAUAUUUCAUAUAAAAAUUAAACACAAAAGAAAAACAACAUCGAAAUAAAAUUAUAAAUUUUUUAAAUAAAAAAAUCAUACACUUAUCAUCAUUU
rnacentral:lncRNA from 1 species